GGUUAAGCGACUAAGCGUACACGGUGGAUGCCCUGGCAGUCAGAGGCGAUGAAGGACGUGCUAAUCUGCGAUAAGCGUCGGUGAGGUGAUAUGAACCGUUAUAACCGGCGAUUUCCGAAUGGGGAAACCCAGUGUGUUUCGACACACUAUCAUUAACUGAAUCCAUAGGUUAAUGAGGCGAACCGGGGGAACUGAAACAUCUAAGUACCCCGAGGAAAAGAAAUCAACCGAGAUUCCCCCAGUAGCGGCGAGCGAACGGGGAGGAGCCCAGAGCCUGAAUCAGUGUGUGUGUUAGUGGAAGCGUCUGGAAAGGCGUGCGAUACAGGGUGACAGCCCCGUACACAAAAAUGCACAUAUUGUGAGCUCGAUGAGUAGGGCGGGACACGUGGUAUCCUGUCUGAAUAUGGGGGGACCAUCCUCCAAGGCUAAAUACUCCUGACUGACCGAUAGUGAACCAGUACCGUGAGGGAAAGGCGAAAAGAACCCCGGCGAGGGGAGUGAAAAAGAACCUGAAACCGUGUACGUACAAGCAGUGGGAGCCUCUUAAUGGGGUGACUGCGUACCUUUUGUAUAAUGGGUCAGCGACUUAUAUUCUGUAGCAAGGUUAACCGAAUAGGGGAGCCGAAGGGAAACCGAGUCUUAACUGGGCGUUAAGUUGCAGGGUAUAGACCCGAAACCCGGUGAUCUAGCCAUGGGCAGGUUGAAGGUUGGGUAACACUAACUGGAGGACCGAACCGACUAAUGUUGAAAAAUUAGCGGAUGACUUGUGGCUGGGGGUGAAAGGCCAAUCAAACCGGGAGAUAGCUGGUUCUCCCCGAAAGCUAUUUAGGUAGCGCCUCGUGAAUUCAUCUCCGGGGGUAGAGCACUGUUUCGGCAAGGGGGUCAUCCCGACUUACCAACCCGAUGCAAACUGCGAAUACCGGAGAAUGUUAUCACGGGAGACACACGGCGGGUGCUAACGUCCGUCGUGAAGAGGGAAACAACCCAGACCGCCAGCUAAGGUCCCAAAGUCAUGGUUAAGUGGGAAACGAUGUGGGAAGGCCCAGACAGCCAGGAUGUUGGCUUAGAAGCAGCCAUCAUUUAAAGAAAGCGUAAUAGCUCACUGGUCGAGUCGGCCUGCGCGGAAGAUGUAACGGGGCUAAACCAUGCACCGAAGCUGCGGCAGCGACACUAUGUGUUGUUGGGUAGGGGAGCGUUCUGUAAGCCUGUGAAGGUGGCCUGUGAGGGUUGCUGGAGGUAUCAGAAGUGCGAAUGCUGACAUAAGUAACGAUAAAGCGGGUGAAAAGCCCGCUCGCCGGAAGACCAAGGGUUCCUGUCCAACGUUAAUCGGGGCAGGGUGAGUCGACCCCUAAGGCGAGGCCGAAAGGCGUAGUCGA
rnacentral:rRNA from 1 species